AUGCCUUCCCGCAAUGGUCUUCAUGUUCCUAACUAUUGCUUAGGAUGUGACAUACCAUUUUGUGGAGCUUACUGGAAUGAUCAAGGGGUAACUAGGAGUACCUCAUAUCAUGUGUGUUUCUGGGAUAUUUUAAAACCUAUAUCAGAAUACACUAUCAUAGGAAUUCCUUUGUUAGCCCAUGAAAAGAAUCUAUACGAACAGAGUAUUUCUAUAUCACUGAAAGUUGCUUACAACUAA